CCUACGGGAGGCUGCAGUGGGGAAUAUUGGACAAUGGGGGCAACCCUGAUCCAGCCAUGCCGCGUGUGUGAAGAAGGCCCUCGGGUUGUAAAGCACUUUCAGUGAGGAAGAACGCCUGGUGGUUAAUACCCAUCAGGAAAGACAUCACUCACAGAAGAAGCACCGGCUAACUCCGUGCCAGCAGCCGCGGUAAUACGGAGGGUGCGAGCGUUAAUCGGAAUUACUGGGCGUAAAGCGCGCGUAGGUGGCUUGAUAAGCCGGUUGUGAAAGCCCCGGGCUCAACCUGGGAACGGCAUCCGGAACUGUCAAGCUAGAGUGCAGGAGAGGAAGGUAGAAUUGCCGGUGUAGCGGUGAAAUGCGUAGGGAUCGGGAGGAAUACCAGUGGCGAAGGCGGCCUUCUGGACUGACACUGACACUGAGGUGCGAAAGCGUGGGUAGCAAACAGGAUUAGAUAACCGGGUAGUC
rnacentral:rRNA from 1 species